rnacentral:lncRNA from 13 species
UAAUGUGGCCUCUAUGUGAGGGCUGCUGAUGGAGACUGUGCUGUAUGAUAUCCAACUGUAUUUUUGUGUUGAUAGACAUGGCCUAAAAGAUUCCAGACAGAGGCUGCCAACCCUCCACCAGAUCACCGUGGAGACACAGUUGACCCUGGCAUAGACGAGGUAUGACCUCUACUUCUUAUACUAUGACUAUAACAAUACUAAUAUAAUAUAUUAUAGUAUGUAUACAUUGUCUAUAUAGAUUUUUAACAUAUGAUAUGAAACAUAUGUUGUUCUUGUUAUCAUGUCAUCAUGCUAAACAUUUUUUACAGGGUCGUCCCAACUUCUCAUUCCUGUUUGAGCCAUAGAAUUGUAUGUGGGGGCAAGGAAAUUGAGGGAUCGGCACAUCAAUAUUUAAGAUCUGUUUUCAGUUACAAUAUGAUACAUUUUCUAUUGUCAAAUAAAUCCAUUAUCAAGCAAAAUCCCAGUUGUCAAUUGUACUUUGUAUGCACACAAAAACAAGAGCUCUUAGUUUGCAUGGUGGACGUUUAAUUGAAUGUUAGAUAGCAAUUGAUUGAGAAGGUGUCCAAUUACAUCACAGAAGUAACCUCCACCAACACCUGCCAUGUACUGUAUAGAUAUAAAGAGGAUCUAAAGAGGUCACACAUAACUUGCCACUGGUGUGCUCUUAAGCCAAAAGGGGUCCCCUGAAUAGACAGAAGUAUCGUCCUGAAAUGACCUCACUGCAUACCCAUACCAAUGAGUAAAAUCAUAUAUUGUUAGCCUAAAACUAAGGCUUGUGUGGUCUCAUGAGUUAAGAAAUUGAUUGGUAUUUAGGAAAAAUAUUAGCAACUAAAAAUCCAUUGUUCAUCUUUAAAGUUUCAUGUACUCCAGGAAGAUAUGUAAAUUUGUCAUCUCAAUCCAAUCAACGAAUCCAAUCCAGAUGCAAGCCUUGGGCAUCUUCGUGCUUGAAGCCAAAGUGCUUGACAAGUCAGGAUAGCCUCACCUUCCACACCUUGUAUCCGCCAUAUCAUUUUCCUUUCCCCUCCCAAGUCUCUGUCUCCUCAGCCUGCAGAUACAGUAUAUCAGUCAUAAAAUGGUUCAAGUAGGAAAUAUACUGUAAGAAUACAGAUACAACACAUCAUAUUAGGAAGAAUAUAGCAAUGUUAUUAGUAAUUUCUUACCUUCAUGAAUGAUGGGAGCUUUGGGUAUAGGUUGAAAGAUAAAAAAAAUGCAUGUUUUAGAUGGUAUUGUGAGUGACAUUUGAUUGAAAAAUAAGCAAUAUUGUUAAAUUUUACAAUAUUUAUUCAUGACGACACUAAAGCUGAAAGGAAAAAUUUAAAUCUGAAUAAGAUACUUACAAGUGUUGUUAUCCCAUAUUCAAAUGAGAUUUUUUGUCUGCAGGGAAAAUAACAGAUAAACAUUUAAACAUUUGUAAAUGUAAUUAUAAAAACGCUCACAAAAUAUUUUCUGUUAACAUUGUGAUAUUUUGAUCACGUUAAAACAUAAAUGUUUACAUACUGUAGCUGAGGGGUUGUAGAUGAGCUUCAGGUAAGGCUGGAAUUGAGACAAAUAACAAACAUUUUUGUUAUUAGUCUAAUUUUAAAAUCAACUUGUUCUCUGUUUGUUCAGCAUUGUAAAUAUAUAACAAAUAUUUUCACCUCUUAAGGAUCCGCCCCCUUUUUUAAAUUUUGGCCUAAAAUGACAUACCCAAAUCCAAAUCCUGAAGCAAGCAUAUGCAUAUUCUUGGUACCAUUUGAAAGGAAACACUUUGCAGUUUUUGGAAAUGUGAAAGGAAUGUAGAAGAAUAAACACAGUAGAUCUGGUAAAAGAUAAUACAAAGAAAAAAACAACUGUUCUUUUGUAUUUUUCUUGUACCAUAAUCUUUGAAAUGCAAGAGAAAGGCCAUAAUGUAUAUUAUUCCAGCCCAGGUGCAAUUUCAAUUAUGGCCACUAGAUGGGAGCAGUGUAUGUGCAAAGUUUUAAACUGAUCCAAUGAACCAUUGCAUUUCAGUCAAAAUGUUGUAUCAAGACUGCCCAUAUGUGCCUAAUUUGUUCAUUUAUAACUCUUCAUGUUCAAAAUUGUGCACUCUCCUCAAACAAUAUCAUGAUAUUCUUUCAUUGUAAUAGCUACUGAAAAUUGGACAGUGCAGUUAGAUUAACAAGAAUUGAAGAUUUCUGCCAAUAUCAGAUAUGUCUAUGUCCUGGGAAAUUUUCUUGUUACUUACCUCAUGCUAAUCGCAUUAGCCUACGUUAGCACAACCAUCCUGUGGACGGGACACCAAUCCCAUAAGAAACUUACCUGGAAACCAGAUGAUUAUGGGUAUCCAAACUAUCAAAACUAGGGACACAUAAAAAAUAUUGACUGCUUUUCAAGUUCUUUCAAGAAAUUCACACUUAACCAAAAUGUAGUGAAUUUGAUUUAAAAUGUCUGUCCCAGACCUGCUGUUUUCAACUAUCUAGAGACAGCAGGAGCAGUAGAGAUAUGAAAAGACAACUGAAAUUUACUCCUGUGGUGCUGACUUGCUGCACCCUCGACAACUACUGUGAUUGUUAUUAUUAUUUGACCAUGCUGGUCAUUUAUGAACAUUUGAACAUCUUUGCCAUGUUCUGUUAUAAUCUCCACCCGGCACAGCCUGAAGAGGACUGGCCACCCCCCAUAGCCUGGUUCCUUUCUAGGUUUCUUCCUAGGUUCUGGCCUUUCUAGGGAGUUUUUCCUAGCCAAGCCACCGUGUUUCUACACCUGCAUUGCUUGCUGUUUUAGGCUGGGUUUCUUUACAGCACUUUGAGAUAUCAGCUGACGUAAGAAGGGCUAUAUAAAUAAAUUUGAUUUGAUUUGAUUUGAUUUGAUAUGUUCGUACCCCUAAUUCUUGAGGUCGUUUACGUACAUUCAGUAAAACAUAUUAAAGCCACUUUAGUAGAUUCCAGUUUCCGCAUCUGUUAUAUACAGUACAAUGGCAUACUUCCUGUUAUUUUGCCUACAAUUACUUCAGAGUAAUAGAAUUAAGCUAAAAUGGAAAGUGACACCAGGCUAAUCCAUACCAUUGGUGGGGGUGUUCCUCUUCCUCUCUGAUAGUAAAGAAAAUACAGUAUUUUUUUUACAGAAUUCAAUCAUGGAGUACUGCAGCCAUCAAAAUACUAAAAUAAAUCAUUUUUUGUGUGAAUUCCUUACCUUUGGCAGCAGGAAAAUGUUCUCACCCUACAAGGGAAAACAUGUUUGUCACA